CAGGCCUAACACAUGCAAGUCGAACGAUGAUCGCAAGGUCAUAGUGGCGCACGGGUGAGGAACACGUAGCUGACCUGCCCCAGAGUGCGGGAUAACGCGCCGAAAGGUGUGCUAAUACCGCGUAAGCUCACGGUGUUCAGAAAGCUGUGAGAAAAGGCCUUCGGGUCGCUCUGGGAGGGGGCUGCGGCGCAUCAGGUAGUUGGUGGGGUAACGGCCUACCAAGCCAACGACGCGUCGGGGGUCUGAGAGGAUGGCCCCCCACACUGGGACUGAGACACGGCCCAGACUCCUACGGGAGGCAGCAGUGAGGGAUAUUGCACAAUGGGGGAAACCCUGAUGCAGCGACGCCGCGUGGGCGAUGAAGGUCUUCGGAUCGUAAAGCCCUUUUUUGUGUGACGGAACGGACGGUAGCACAGGAAUAAGUCUCGGCUAACUACGUGCCAGCAGCCGCGGUAAAACGUAGGAGGCAAGCGUUAUCCGGAGUUACUGGGCGUAAAGCGCAUGUAGGCGGUCUUACAAGUUGGUUGUGAAAGCGCCCGGCUAAACUGGGCGAGGCCGAUCAAGACUGUGAGACUAGAGAGUGAUAGAGGGGCGCAGAAUUCGGGGUGUAGCGGUGAAAUGUGUAGAGAUCCCGAGGAAUACCAGUGGGGAAGCCGGCGCCCUGGGUCAUAUCUGACGCUGAGAUGCGAAAGCGUGGGGAGCGAACGGGAUUAGAGACCCCGGUAGUCCACGCCGUAAACGAUGCUUACUAAGUGUUCACCUGGCGCAAGUCAGGGGGGUGCUGAAGCUAACGCGAUAAGUAAGCCGCCUGGGGAGUACGGUCGCAAGGCUAAAACUCAAAGG
rnacentral:rRNA from 1 species